rnacentral:rRNA from 1 species
CCUACGGGAGGCAGCAGUGGGGAAUCUUAGACAAUGGGGGCAACCCUGAUCUAGCCAUGCCGCGUGAGUGAUGAAGGCCUUAGGGUCGUAAAGCUCUUUCGCCUGUGAUGAUAAUGACAGUAGCAG